rnacentral:rRNA from 1 species
GACGAACGCUGGCGGCGUGCUUAACACAUGCAAGUCGAACGGAAAGGCCCUGCUUUUGUGGGGUGCUCGAGUGGCGAACGGGUGAGUAACACGUGAGUAACCUGCCCUUGACUUUGGGAUAACUUCAGGAAACUAGGGCUAAUACCGGAUAGGAGCUCCUGCUGCAUGGUGGGGGUUGGAAAGUUUCGGCGGUUGGGGAUGGACUCGCGGCUUAUCAGCUUGUUGGUGGGGUAGUGGCUUACCAAGGCUUUGACGGGUAGCCGGCCUGAGAGGGUGACCGGCCACAUUGGGACUGAGAUACGGCCCAGACUCCUAUGGGAGGCAGCAGUGGGGAAUAUUGCACAAUGGGCGGAAGCCUGAUGCAGCAACGCCGCGUGCGGGAUGACGGCCUUCGGGUUGUAAACCGCUUUCGCCUGUGACGAAGCGUGAGUGACGGUAAUGGGUAAAGAAGCACCGGCUAACUACGUG